rnacentral:rRNA from 1 species
AAUGAACGCUGGCGGCGUGCUUAACACAUGCAAGUCGCACGAGAACGCUUCAGCUUGCUGAAGUUAGUAAAGUGGCGCACGGGUGAGUAACGCGUGGGUAAUCUACCCUCGAAUUGGGGAUAACCCGCCGAAAGGCGGGCUAAUACCGAAUAAUAUCUUAAAAAUCUCGAUUUUAAAGAUCAAAGGAGGCCUCUACUUGUAAGCUUCUGUUUGAGGAUGAGCCCGCGUACCAUUAGCUUGUUGGUAGGGUAAUGGCCUACCAAGGCUACGAUGGUUAGCUGGUCUGAGAGGAUGAUCAGCCACACUGGAACUGACACACGGUCCAG